rnacentral:rRNA from 1 species
GACGGAGGAUGCAAGUGUUAUCCGGAAUCACUGGGCGUAAAGCGUCUGUAGGUGGUUUAAUAAGUCAACUGUUAAAUCUUGAGGCUCAACCUCAAAAUCGCAGUCGAAACUAUUAGGCUAGAGUAUAGUAGGGGUAAAGGGAAUUUCCAGUGGAGCGGUGAAAUGCGUAGAGAUUGGAAAGAACACCGAUGGCGAAGGCACUUUACUGGGCUAUUACUAACACUCAGAGACGAAAGCUAGGGUAGCAAAUAGGGAU